rnacentral:rRNA from 1 species
GCUAACAAGGUUGGUCGAUUUUUUCAAGCCGUCGCGCAGUGUACCUAGAAGUACACGAGCAACGGAAGUUAAAAAAUCGGGCAAGAUUGAACGCAAAGGCAAGCGGGACAUUUGAGGAUGGGGUGACUGCGUACCUUUUGUAUAAUGGGUCAGCGACUUAUAUUCUGUAGCAAGGUUAACCGCAUAGGGGAGCCGUAGGGAAACCGAGUCUUAACU